UGAGCUCAAAUAUGGUCAGAAUUCGAC
rnacentral:piRNA from 1 species